rnacentral:rRNA from 1 species
GACGAACGCUGGCGGCGUGCUUAACACAUGCAAGUCGAACGGAAAGGCCCUGCUUUUGUGGGGUGCUCGAGUGGCGAACGGGUGAGUAACACGUGAGUAACCUGCCCUUGACUUUGGGAUAACUUCAGGAAACUGGGGCUAAUACCGGAUAGGAGCUCCUGCUGCAUGGUGGGGGUUGGAUAGUUUCGGCGGUUGGGGAUGGACUCGCGGCUUAUCAGCUUGUUGGUGGGGUAGUGGCUUACCAAGGCUUUGACGGGUAGCCGGCCUGAGAGGGUGACCGGCCACAUGGGGACUGAGAUACGGCCCAGACUCCUACGGGAGGCAGCAGUGGGGAAUAUUGCACAAUGGGCGGAAGCCUGAUGCAGCAACGCCGCGUGCGGGAUGACGGCCUUCGGGUUGUAAACCGCUUUCGCCUGUGACGAAGCGUGAGUGACGGUAAUGGGUAAAGAAGCACCGGCUAACUACGUG